UACGAGGGGGGCGAGCGUUGUUCGGAAUUAUUGGGCGUAAAGGGCGCGUAGGCGGCUGUACAAGUCAAAGGUGAAAUCCCUCGGCUCAACUGAGGAACUGCCUUUGAAACUGUACGGCUUGAGGCCGGGAGGGGGUAGCGGAAUUCCCAGUGUAGCGGUGAAAUGCGUAGAUACUGGGAGGAACACCAGUGGCGAAGGCGGCUGCCUGGACCGGUUCUGACGCUGAGGCGCGAAAGCGUGGGUAGCAAACAGG
rnacentral:rRNA from 1 species